rnacentral:lncRNA from 10 species
GACCUCGCCCAUGACGUCCUUCCCCGCUGGCCUCAGGGGCGCACACUUGUAUACCCACCUAGGUGGGCGCCGCUGUACCCGGGAAUGCGGCCUGGGAGGGUGGAGCCACGCAGGCAGAGUCCUGGAGGAAUCUCCGUACCCGCUCCACUCGACUUCCGACAUUUUACCUUGGCUAAAAGUAUGGAGAGAACUUGGAAAAUCAGAGCUUUGUGGAACCUCCUACCGAUGUGGGCUUUGACCUGCCACGCGGCCGCGCGCCCUUUUUGUAGUCAGAGAGUGUGCCUCGCCCUUGUUUGUGUCGCUGGGGUCUAGCACUUGUGAGGCGUUCCAUUAAUGUUUGUUGGUGGGAGGAAUAAAUGUCUCAGAGGAAGGACAUGCCACGUA